GUAUGAUAAUGUUAAAAACAAUAAAGAGUUGAUGAAAUAUUUAAAAUAAAUGAAUGAUUAAAUCACUUUAUAAAACUACAGAAUGCCCUGCAACAUUGUGUUGUGCUUUGGAGCCACUUUGCCCCAGAAAAAAAAAAAAAAAAAAAAAAAAAAAUGUAUUCAGAUCCAGACAGAUGCAAAUGAUCUGGCAGCAGUUUACAGCUACUGACUUUCAAACAUAGCCUACUACAAGUUGUUUUCAUUUAGAGUAGGCUAUAUCAUAAUUUUAGGAAAAGUCAAAGAAUCUUUUUGUUAAUGGGAAUGAAUUACCUGAAAGGCAGCUCCAUCCUCCCUCUCUCUCCCUCCUCCCUCCUUCAUCUGUUCAGCAGCAUGUCAGAGCCUGUGGGAUGGAGUUACAGCACAUUAACUUUCCAUCUGGAUGCUGCUCUGAGCACCUUUAAUGAAGACAGUCGCAUCUCUCCAAACUUCACAAGACCCGCGACUGUCCAACACACACCUCCAGCGGAACAAAGCUGUUUUAAAAGUAACUUUUCCGAAAAUACAGCCAAAGCAUGAAGCUCCAGUGCGUUUCUCUUCUCAUUUGUGCUUUACUCUUUGGCGAGUGCUGCGGGUCUCGUCUGGACCGCUGGGUCCGAACUGGACUUCAGUACCUGCAGCUCAACCUGUGCCGGAGGGUCUCCUUACCGGAGAGCGAGUGCAAGAAGCUGUCCCAACUGCACCUGAGCGGGGUGGUCGUGUACGUGACCGAGUCCGGCUCGGGGAAAGUGCUGACGAUGCUGCCGGACUCAUACUCGAGCGGUGCGCUGCAGUCCAAGCAGAGCGGCUUCACUGUGGACGCGAGCGCGGAUGAUGACAGCAGGACGAACGAAGAGCUGUACCCGGGCGCGAGCACGCACGACGCCGUGCUGCUGCUGGACCCCAGUCCCGGCGAGAGCUUCGGACACCCGGUGGCUCUGUUCUAUGUAGACUUCAACAUAACCAAGAAGAAAUGUGCUCAUAUGGACGGCAUUUAUCUGGGGGAGGAGUGCUUGAUGAUGGCUGUGAAGACACAAUGCCAGAACCAGCUGAAGCGGAGAAGGAGUCGCAGCGACCGUAUGGCGAGCCGGGCGAGGGCCCGCAGGAGUACGAUGGACAGGACCGGCCGAGUGGAGCAAAGCAGCGGCCUCUGUGAGAUUCACUUUCUCCCCCUGGUUGUGGGAGUGAAAGAUAGCAACCGAACCCAGCGCCUACGUUGUGUAGAUCACCCAGACUUUGCCAGAUGCCCGCAGCCUUUGCCACUGACCAGCCCCAGCACGCCCAUCUCCAGCUGUGAGCUCAAUAAAAACACCCGCCGGUGCCAUCAGCAACGCCUGGCCACACACCUGUCCUGCCGCCUUUACCAAACCUGUGAUCAUGCUGUUCUCCUGUCAGGUACACAAACAAAAAGAAGCUCAUUUGUAUGACUCAAAGAACUCAUUUGUAUGAUCUGACCCUAGAUCAGCCUAUUGAUGUUUGAAAUGCUGGACGAAUACUUGGAUCAGCUGUCUCAGGUAUGCUGCUCCUACAUAACCUUUAACCUGUACAUGUGCAGGUGGCUGGCAGGAGCAGAUAACAUACCAACAACAUGCGAAGAACCUGCAGCUCCUCUACCAGAUGUUAAGGAACAACGGUUUCCAUAAGGACCACAUAAAGACAUUCUUUGCUGGGAAUGGACAGGUAGCAGGUCAGAGAUCAUUUCAAGUCAUUUAAGCUUUUAUUGGGGUAUACACCCUAAUGCUUUAUAUUCAGAUUCAACAACUGUUUUUAUUUCUACAGCUAAAGAGACAGAGGGAAUGUAUCCAGCCACAGAGAAAGAGGUGAUCAGGAAUCACAUUUCCUACAUCUGCCGUAAGCAGCACUGUGUGGAUUCUCUUGUUCUGUACCUGAACAGCCCCACACGCAAUGACGGCACCAUGCUGCUCUGGGACCGCAAUAACAACGGCAUUGUGAGUGUGUGUGUAUGCUCAGACGUUUUGAUGGUUGCAUUGUAUAACUAGUGCUGCACUAAGACUGGAUACACUGACGUUAAAGGGGUCAUAUGAUGUUGCUAAAAAAGAACAUUAUUUUGUGUAUUUGCCCCUUAACAUACUAUGAUGCCGUGUCCCAGUGCGACAAGACAAAACCAAUACAACCCAUUACAAACGAGGCAUUUAUUGCAUCCAGUGGGGACAUACAGUAAUUACUGAUUAUAAUGACAUAUACUGUCUUUUUACGCAUUGCGUUGCAUCGCGCCUCGUAAACAUAAAACCAAGUCUGCAUUUUAGUCUUUGCACUUUAGGGAUCUUUUCUAUUCAUGAACAGCUUGUAACACUCCAAAGAGAAAGGAAAACUUGAAAUCGCAAUCAUAUGACCACUUUAAUGUUGAAACUUUGAGUGUAAUAAUGGAAACUAUGAACACAAUUACUAUAGAGCACAACAGUAUCUGCCCAAUUUUCAGCAGCCUUUGUUCCCAAAGAAUUGUUUUCAAUUUAUUUUUUCAACAGGAAUUUCAAAGAUUUUUUUUUUUUUUACAAUAAAUCAUUAAAACA
ensembl:lncRNA